rnacentral:rRNA from 1 species
AAUCUUCCGCAAUGGACGAAAGUCUGACGGAGCAACGCCGCGUGAGUGAUGAAGGCUUUCGGGUCGUAAAACUCUGUUGUCAGGGAAGAACAUCCGGGAUAACCUCCCGGUCUGACGGUACCUGAUCAGAAAGCCCCGGCUAACUACGUGCCAGCAGCCGCGGUAAUACGUAGGGGGCAAGCGUUGUCCGGAAUUAUUGGGCGUAAAGCGCGCGCAGGCGGUUUCUUAAGUCUGGUGUGAAAGCCCGCAGCUCAACUGCGGAGGGCCACUGGAAACUGGGAAGCUUGAGUGUAGGAGAGGAGAGCGGAAUUCCACGUGUAGCGGUGAAAUGCGUAGAUAUGUGGAGGAACACCCGUGGCGAAAGCGGCUCUCUGGCCUAUAACUGACGCUGAGGCGCGAAAGCGUGGGGAGCGAACAGG